GGGGGCUAGCGUUGCUCGGAAUCACUGGGCGUAAAGCGCACGUAGGCGGAUUGCUAAGUCAGGGGUGAAAUCCUGGAGCUCAACUCCAGAACUGCCUUUGAUACUGGCGAUCUCGAGUCCGGGAGAGGUGAGUGGAACUGCGAGUGUAGAGGUGAAAUUCGUAGAUAUUCGCAAGAACACCAGUGGCGAAGGCGGCUCACUGGCCCGGUACUGACGCUGAGGUGCGAAAGCGUGGGGAGCAAACAGG
rnacentral:rRNA from 1 species